UUUAGACAAGGAAGUUAAACCACUGAUAUGAACUAUAAAAUGAGCCAUACCAUGAGAAAACCAACAUAGUGGCUUUGCGACCAGCAUGGAUCCAGACCAGCCUGCGCAUCCGCGCAGUCUGGUCAGGAUCCAUGCUGUUCGCUUUCAAAGCCUAUUGCAAUUAGAAAAUCCUGGUCGCAAAGCCACUAUGUUGGUUUUCUCCUGGCGCGGCUCAAAUGAUGAUUUAGCUUGGCUUCAGAAAUGGACAAAAUACUAAAAAAAAAUGUUUAUCAUUUCAACAAAUUCAGGAAAUUUCGUUUUAGUCAUCAGGCUACAAACAUACAGUCAACUUUAAAAGAAAGAUAUAUUUCAGGAAAGUUAACCAAUGAAGAUUGUUCAUCUGUCGAAAUUACCAUAUAUUUUAGGUUCUUUUCUACUAAUAUUUUUUUUUUGUGUUAAUUUUCUUAUAGUUAAUAUUUACCUUCUUAACUGGUUAUGGAAAUAUUAAGAUAAUUUGACAAGCAUAAAAAUUAAACAAACAAAAUGAAAAUGAAUACUGCAUAUUUUUUCAAUGAGAGGUUUCAUAAGUGAAUCUAGUAUAAAAAAACAAGUUCUACCUUAUCUAUUACUUUGU
rnacentral:lncRNA from 1 species